ACAAAGGAUUUUUUUAAAUCCAAAAGCUUGCUAAAAUAGAUUUCU
rfam:Alligator mississippiensis ScZkoYb_187, whole genome shotgun sequence.